GACGAACGCUGGCGGCGUGCUUAACACAUGCAAGUCGAGCGGAGUGGCGGACGGGUGAGUAAUGUCUGGGAAACUGCCCGAUGGAGGGGGAUAACUACUGGAAACGGUAGCUAAUACCGCAUACUAUCAGAUGAGCCUAGGUCGGAUUAGCUAGUUGGGGGGGUAAAGGCCUACCAAGGCGACGAUCCGUAACUGGUCGGAGAGGAUGAUCAGCCACAUGGGAACUGAGACACGGUCAGGACUCCUCGGGGAGGCAGCAGUGGGGAAUAUUGGACAAUGGGCGAAAGCCUGAGACAGCCAUGCCGCGUGUGUGAAGAAGGUCUUCGGAUUGUAAAGCACUUUAAGUGGGGAGGCGUUACCAACAGAAUAAGCACCGGCUAACUUCGUGCCAGCCGCCGCGGUAAUAC
rnacentral:rRNA from 1 species